UACGAAGGGGGCUAGCGUUGCUCGGAAUUACUGGGCGUAAAGGGCGCGUAGGCGGAUAGUUUAGUCAGAGGUGAAAGCCCAGGGCUCAACCUUGGAACUGCCUUUGAUACUGGCUAUCUUGAGUUCGGGAGAGGUGAGUGGAAUGCCGAGUGUAGAGGUGAAAUUCGUAGAUAUUGGGAAGAACACCGGUGGCGAAGGCGGCUAUCUGGACCGACAUUGACGCUGAGGCGCGAAAGCGUGGGGAGCAAACAGG
rnacentral:rRNA from 1 species